rfam:Candidatus Caedibacter acanthamoebae, complete genome.
AUAAAUUGCUUUCUUUGAAAGCAUUAAUUAAUGAAUUAAGGAGAAAAGCCGUGGCUCGUAUAGCAGGCGUCAACAUUCCUACA